ACUACCCGGGCCCCCCUAUGCAGUACUACCCUGGCCCCCCUAUGCAGUACUACCCUGGCCCCCCUAUGCAGUACUACCCCGGCCCCCCUAUGCAU